UACGGAAGGCAGCAGUGGGGAAUAUUGCACAAUGGGCGAAAGCCUGAUGCAGCUAUGCCGCGUGUAUGAAGAAGGCCUUAGGGUUGUAAAGUACUUUCAUCGGGGAGGAAAAAACAAAACUAAUAAUUUUAUUUCUUGACGUUACCCGAAAAAGAAGCACCGGCUAACUCCGUGCCAGCAGCCGCGGUAAUACGGGGGUGCUAGCGUUAAUCAGAAUUACUGGGCGUAAAGAGCACGUAGGUGGUUUUUUUAAGUUCAGAUGUGAAAUCCCUGGGCUUAACCUAGGAACUGCAUUUUGAAACUGAAAUACUAGAGUAUCGUAGAGGGAGGUAGAAUUCUAGGUGUAGCGGUGAAAUGCGUAGAUAUCUGGAGGAAUACCUGUGGCGAAAGCGGCCUCCUAAACGAAUACUGACACUGAGGGUGCGAAAGCGUGGGGAGCAAACAGGGAUUAGAUACC
rnacentral:rRNA from 1 species